rnacentral:lncRNA from 10 species
GUUGGGACCAUUAUCAUUAGGAUUAAUAGUAUUCCAUCAGUGCAUUUCACUAGUAUUUCCCUUGAACAUUUUCACUUGCAGCAACUGAGGGAGGCGUAGUAAGGAAGCCCAACACAACCAAUUCCCCCACUCCCCAAAUAAACCACUACGACCGGUCACAUUACGAUGACCAAAUCAUCAGCGAUUUGCACGAGGCGGUGGGGGGUGGGGGGUGCGGGCGGUGAUCGAAGGGCUGAAGAUGCGGAGGAGGCCGAGUCGCUAGGCGCUUUCGGGGGCGCUGUGCCGGUGAGGCUUAGGCAAGGGGACGGGGAACCGUGGUUAGAUGCAGCAGCGGCGGCAGCAGCCCUCCCAGGUCCCACUUCUUUGGCGUUCCUGCUGCCUGUGACUCAAGACAAUUGACUUCCACCUGAACCCUCAGCUCCGAACGCCUUGCAUUAGAAGCUAGAGCUUUGGAGGUUCUGAGGACGGUCCCUGGGGAGCAAGUGGUAGGUUUCGAGGCGCCCGCUUCCCCUCUGAUUCCUGCAGUAACUGAGAGAGAGUGUGCCAGAAAUGGCUUUGCUGCCGAAUGCAUUAUCUUGCCAUUUUCGUGUCCCAAUACUGAACAAACGAUCGCCUGAUCGAUCGGUAAGAUUAGCUUUAUUCCUUCUCCCUAUUCCUCUCCUUGGCCCCAUUCCCUCUGCAAGUCCAAACCCCAGUCUCUCUCUCUCUCUCUCUCUCCCUCCCUCUCUCUCUCUCUCUCUCUCUCUCCAGGAACUUCUUCCUCUUUGAAACCGGUUUCCCAAGGGAACUGCCUGUGUGACUGAGAGGCUAGUAAUCUGUUUGUAGAUGAUUUAUAUUUUGGCUGCAGAAUGAAUCCCCCUCCCUACUCGGAGUACUCUCCUUAGAGAUGAUCCCCCGCCCCCUCCCCAUGGGUUCGCUCUCAGAGCUGGGAUCUGUAUAAAGAGCGCUGUGGGAGUCUUUUGCCCUCCGCUCUAGCUCUAUCUUCCUCCGGACCCCGAAGCUUAAGAAUUAUCCGCCUCACUCUCUUUUUUAGAAAUAGGAGGGAAAGGUAGAGUGGAAAUUGAUUUCUUGCAGAGACUGAGGCGCUGAAUGAUAGAGGGAAUAAACAUUUGCCCUGGAUAAAAAUGUUCUUGGCUGUUGUCCAGCUCUAAUGAUGUCCUAGAGCAGAAGUGUUUCUUCUGAUGUCUCAUUUUAACAAGAGGAUGAUGUCUGUGUAUGUCUCUGUGUUUUAGAGAGGCUGGCAAAUGCUGCUAAGAGGAUCUGAGGUUCACAUAAAGAGGAUGAAAAUUCUGAAUUACUUUCAUUGCAAAUAAACCUUAACAAUUGUGAGAGUUAGAGAGCAUACUUUUCACAUAAGACUUUGGUAUGCUGCCUAAAGCUACUUACAUAAUUUGCUAUUCAGAGAAAUGCAUUUGUUUAUUGAGGACCCACCCGGACUUAAAUUGGAAAAAUGUAACAUUCAGAUUUUUAUUUUAUAUGUGAAAUAAAUGUGUGAUUGCUGUUCUUAAAAAUUUGAAAAAAAAAGGAUAACAAGAAUAUUAAUUUUGUGACCCAUAGUUCAUGAACUUUAAAAGUGUUUACAGCAUUUAAAGUUUAUUUAACAAUUUAAGUAUUUGAGCACUAUACUAAUUCAUAUGGUUACAUUUGAUCAACUCCUUCAUGAAGCCAUAGGCUUUAUAUCUCCUAGCUGCCUUUUACCUUCAGAACAAAUCUGGUUUAUACUUAGAUUGCUCCAAAAGUUAUGCAUUUUAAUUUUAUGUUGAAAAUGUCUUUCUUAGAUAAUCACGGUGCAUAUUUGCAGCUAAUACUUUAGUAUAUUUUAUAUUAUUGGUAAUGCUUUUGUUAGCCAUCCUGGUGCUGCCUUCUUAUAAGAGCUAUGUAUGAGAACCAACUAAUAUAUUUCUUUUUUUUUUUUUUCUUUUUCUUACCUAUUAACCCACUAAAAUUUCUAAUCUAAAAGCAAUAUUCAAGUUACAUUUUAUUACAGAAAUUGGAAAGCAAUUUGCCUGGGAAGCAAAAUGUUGAUAUGAUUCAGGUGAUUUUAACAUUAAAUCUAACUUGUAACAAAAACGGAUUAUAUAAAGAUAAAUAAAUUGAGACUAUUAUUUGCAUAGCAAAGAAAGUCAAACAUGACCCACACAUUUAUGCACAUAUAAUUAAUUUCAAUAAAAUGUUUAUAUUUAUUCAUUUUCAUCUCUGCUAUGUUUGCUUUUAGAGUUUUCUCUUUGAAAGAGUCUAAAGUUUUAAAAAUACCUGUGUAUGCAGGAAUCUUCACAUUUUAUUUUGUAAGAUCAAUAAUGCUGCUAAAUAAACUGGGGCUAAUGUGUUCAAGUCUCAUAAAA